UACGUAGGGGGCAAGCGUUAUCCGGAUUUACUGGGUGUAAAGGGCGUGUAGACGGGAGUGCAAGUCAGAUGUGAAAACCACGGGCUCAACCUGUGGCCUGCAUUUGAAACUGUACUUCUUGAGUACUGGAGAGGCAGACGGAAUUCCUAGUGUAGCGGUGAAAUGCGUAGAUAUUAGGAGGAACACCAGUGGCGAAGGCGGUCUGCUGGACGAUGACUAACGUUGAGGCUCGAAAGCGUGGGGAGCAAACAGG
rnacentral:rRNA from 1 species